GACGAACGCUGGCGGCGUGCUUAACACAUGCAAGUCGAACGGUAAGGCCCUUCGGGGUACACGAGUGGCGAACGGGUGAGUAACACGUGGGUGAUCUGCCCUGCACUUCGGGAUAAGCCUGGGAAACUGGGUCUAAUACCGGAUAGGACUCCUGGCUUCAUGGUUGGGGGUGGAAAGCUUUUGCGGUGUGGGAUGGGCCCGCGGCCUAUCAGCUUGUUGGUGGGGUAAAGGCCUACCAAGGCGACGACGGGUAGCCGGCCUGAGAGGGUGACCGGUCACGCUGGGACUGGGAUACGGCCCAGACUCCUACGGGAGGCAGCAGUGGGGAAUAUUGCACAAUGGGCGCAAGCCUGAUGCAGCGACGCCGCGUGAGGGAUGACGGCCUUCGGGUUGUAAACCUCUUUCAGCUAUGACGAAGCGCAAGUGACGGUAGUAGCAGAAGAAGGACCGGCCAACUACGUGCCAGCCGCCGCCGUAA
rnacentral:rRNA from 1 species